rnacentral:rRNA from 1 species
UACGUAGGGGGCUAGCGUUGUCCGGAUUUAUUGGGCGUAAAGAGCGUGUAGGCGGCCAGGUAGGUCUGCUGUGAAAACUCGAGGCUUAACCUCGAGAUGUCGGCGGAAACCAUCUGGCUAGAGUCCGGAAGAGGAGAGUGGAAUUCCUGGUGUAGCGGUGAAAUGCGCAGAUAUCGUGAGGAACACCAGAGGCGAAGGCGGCUACCUGGGGUAUUGCUGACGCUGAGGAACGAAGGCCAGGGUAGCGAACGGG